CCUACGGGAGGCAGCAGUGAGGAAUAUUGGUCAAUGGACGCAAGUCUGAACCAGCCAUGCCGCGUGCAGGAAGACGGCUCUAUGAGUUGUAAACUGCUUUUGUACGAGGGUAAACGCAGAUACGCGUAUCUGUCUGAAAGUAUCGUACGAAUAAGGAUCGGCUAACUCCGUGCCAGCAGCCGCGGUAAUACGGAGGAUUCAAGCGUUAUCCGGAUUUAUUGGGUUUAAAGGGUGCGUAGGCGGUCUGAUAAGUUAGAGGUGAAAUCCCGAGGCUCAACUUCGUAAUUGCCUCUGAUACUGGUCGGCUAGAGAGGAGUUGCGGUAGGCGGAAUGUAUGGUGUAGCGGUGAAAUGCUUAGAGAUCAUACAGAACACCGAUUGCGAAGGCAGCAUACCAAGCUACUUCUGACGUUGAGGCACGAAAGCGUGGGGAGCAAACAGGAUUAGAUACCCCAGUAGUC
rnacentral:rRNA from 1 species